rnacentral:lncRNA from 1 species
UUUUUUUUUUUUUUUUAAUUUGGUUGAACCUGCAGCAUGCAGAAAUUCCCAGGCCAGGGACUGAACCCAUGCCACUGUAGCAACCACAACCACUGCAGUGACAACAUUGGAUGCUUAAACCACUGAGCCAUAUGGGAACUCCUCAAAGUUACUAUUGACUUCAUCAGGAUGAGGCUAGCUAUGUGCUUAAGUAAUAAUUGAAGUAAGGAUGAGAAAUAAAUUUUACGGAAAGUAAGAAUAAUACUAUGCCUUAUCUAUAAGAUCCCAAACCAGAAUAUAUUUGAAAAUAUUUGAGUGACUGACUUUUUUUUUUUUACUUUUCGUCUUCAUUAGUGAUACUAUGCAGCUAUCUAUAGUUUGGUAUCUCUAACCACCAGAUAACAGUUGUGAUGACCAAAAAUGCCUCUAGACACUGCCAAAUGUCCUCUGGGGUAGGAGAGAAAUCACCCCUGGUUGAGAUCCACUGUUCCAUAGUAAGUUAUUACUACCCAAAUAUUUUGAUUAUCUUUUUAACUGUUACCUAUUACCAUGGCCACAUUAAUCAUGCCAGGAUUCACAAUGAUCACAAUGAUUAAAGAAAUUACAGAUUUACCCUGGCACUCAGGAUUACUAUCAUACUAUUAGACAGAGCCUGGGUAUGUUAAAGGAAAAAAAUUCCUAUAAUUAGAAAAAUAAAAGAUUACACAAAAAGAGCAAAGACUUUGGUUGUACACUGGAAUGAAAUUACAUUCAUUUGUUGAAGUGGUCUGAACGACUCAAAAAUACACAGCAGCUGUUAUUCACUUAGCUACAACAUAGCUGAUAUUAACACACAUUUUGAAAAGGAGGGCUGUUGCUUCAUAGAACAAUUCUGCUGAUAUUUAAGAAGCAAUGUCAGUGACUCAUCAGACAGUCAGGCAUGACUUCUUCCCCUUCAAUGUUCCUUAUCAUUUUUCUCAUUGCCUUUUUUACUUCAACACAUGUUCAAUGGCAGCCACAAUCAAAAUUCUGUUGCAAAAUUAAGUAUCUUACUUUUAUUUCACAUAAAUAAAUUAUAAAUGAUCAUAGUUAAAAACAUAAAUAAUAAAUACUCUCUGCAUCACCAUUCUUCUAGCUUGUAGUGAUUUUUAUUUCAUCACUGUGAAUGGUGGAUGGUCUUUUGUCUCUUCUAAAUGUCCCAAUCUUUGUGGGAUAAUUAAAUAUGACCCAAAAGCAAAAUAAAGUUUAAGAGGAUUUUUUUCUCAUAUAUGCAUCCCUCAUUUGUACUAUUGUUCUCCAAUUUCCUUUUGAAACUUGCAAAAAUGACAUGUGAGUUUAAAAACUUACUUAGCUUAAAAUGGCUCCUUUUUUAAAAAAGGCAAACACUGUAGUGGGAUGCCGGGAUUGCAUUCAUCCCAGCAUGCCCCACCACUGUUCUUUGGAUGGCAAUCACAGGACCCAGACAUCAAGCUGUGGAGGAGAUUCUUCCAAGCAACAGCAUCUGGCUCUUUGGCAAACUGAAAAGGCAGUUGCUCUGGUGGCUUUGGAGUUGCCUCUGGGUCUGUCACAGGGUAAGGCUAUGGAUGGAGUGUCUGGAUUCUCAUCUUCUUUUCGUUACCAUCUUUCUCACAUACCUUUUGACAUCAAGAGACUCACAAACUUCUAUAAAGCAAUUACUGCCCUCCUUAAAUGUAAUGAAUAUCUACAUAAUCCCUAUUGUACUUCAAGAAGUAGUCCUUUCCAUUGCCCCAUGCCUUAUGAAAGUGUAAAAAUAGGCGAGCAUUCUGGCAGCAGCAACACUAGCAUUCUAUUUCAUACCCCACCUGCAGAGAGAAUCAGAAAUUAAAUGUUCUAUUUUCAGCCCUAGAUAUUUUAGGCCUGCAUUUUCACCUUCUUUAUUUGCAACAGAUCUCUUUGCCAGUUAAAUUUAAUAAAGUCAUAUUUAUAAUAUGAAUAGCUACCUAAUCUCAUGGAAACUUUUUUUUUCUUCCUCAAGAUUUCAAUCUAAUCUGGCAAGGUGGUAUAAGGACUAUAGGGGCUUAGUUUGAAGAAUUCAUGGCACUUUAAAAUCAUAAGUGCAGUCCCUGGAACAAACAAACACUUUGAACACAAGAACUGGCAGCUCUAGAACAAAAGGGUUCUCAUAUCCUCUUAGCUGUAAAGGAAAUUAAAAAGACCAAAUUUGGAAAGUAAAUAGUGCAUUUUUCAGAUGUUUUUAGGUUUUUUUUUUAAAAAAAAGCAACCUUCUAAACACUUUGUACCACAGAUAUUAAUGAAUAUGGUCUCUCUACAGACUACAAACUAUGUAUGUAUGACUCUGAAAUCACACUUAAAAGGUAAAAUAACUACUGGUGAAGAGAUGGAUCAAAGACUCUACUGGGUCCAGACAAGGCAAAGAUCGUAAGUUUGCUUUAUAAGAGGCAGCAUUUAAUUCCUCCUGUUAGAAUUCAUCAGAAAAAAAGGGAGGCUUUAUACACUGACCACUUUUUUUUGCCGUGCUCAUGGCAUGUGGAAGUUCCCAGGAUGGAACCAGAACCACAGAAGUAACAAUGCUGGAUCUGAGACCACUAGGCCACCAGGGAACUCCUACACUGUCUACCUCUAUGGAAACUCAGUUCUAAUUUAUCAUUUGAGCACAGCCAAUAACUCCAUCAAUGACCAAUGGAAAAAUCCAUGGAAUUUCUGUUUUAUGAAUGGACAGCAAAUUAAGAAGAAGGGAGAGGAAGUUCCCUUGUGGAGCGAAGCAGGUUAAAGAUCUGGUGUUACUGCUAUGGCUCUAAUUCCAUCCCCGGCCUGGGAACUUGCACACGCCACGGGCACCGCCAUUUAAAAAGAAAGAAAAAAAACAAGAGGAAUAGGAAGGAAAAGAGAGUCUUUAUAAGACUUUGUAUUUGAGUGUAAAUUGUUACUGUGGAAAUCCUAAAUUCGCAGGGAAAUAAAAUCCAUCAACUUCAAGGUCUCACAAGUAGUUGAAGCUAAAAAGCCAAACACAAACAAAUAAAUAGGCAAUGACUACGUCUAGCCCAGAAAACGAGACUUAAAAAGUAAUUCUUAUUAUAAUUAUUGUGAAUACUUUUUUUUCAUUCUCUUAGAAAUAAGAUAAAAAUGUAAUGAUGUCACACACACAUAUAGUCUCUAGAUACUGGAUAGAGGUAAAUCUCAAGCUUGUGUUUAUUCGCAUUUAAAAAAUUAUCUUGGAGUUCCCAUCGUGGCUCAGUGGUUAAUGAAUCUGACUAGGAACCAUGAGGUUGUGGGUUCGGUCCCUGGCCUUGCUAGUGGGUUAAUGAUCUGGCGUUCCCGUGAGCUGUGGUGUAGGUUGCAGAUGCGGCUCGGAUCCCAUGUUGCUGUGGCUCUGGUAGGCCUGCAGCAACAGCUCUGAUUAGACCCCUAGCCUGGGAAUCUCCAUAUGCUGCGGGAGUGGCCCAAGAAAUGGCAAAAAGAUUUUAAAAAAUAAAAAAACAAAAAAAUUUAAAAAUAAAAUAAAAAAUUAUCUUCUACUUAAGAGCACAUAAUCUGUCCAAAUAUAUAGUAAAAUGUUAAAAUAAAAAAUAAAAAUAAAAAAUAAAAAAAGUAAAAUGUACACUCGGUUGCCUUCUGAUUUUAUUUUAUUUUAUUUUUAUUUUUAUUUUUAUUUUUUGUCUUUUUGCUAUUUCUUUGGGCCGAUCCCACGGCAUAUGGAUAGGGGUAGAAUCAGAGCUGUAGGCACUGGCCUACACCAGAGCCACAGCAACAUGGGAUCCAAGCCGCGUCUGCAACCUACACCACAGCUCACGGCAACGCUGGAUCAAACGCCGGAUCGUUAACCCACUGAGCAAGGGCAAGGACCGAACCCACAACCUCAUGAUUCCUAGUCGGAUUCGUUAACCACUGCGCCACGACGGGAACUCCCUUCUGAUUUUAUUUUUUAGAAACAAAUCAAACUGGAACAUUAAGAGUCAUCUACUUUUGUCAUUUAAUGCAAACAACUCCUACAGCUUUCCCUAGGAACACUGCUGGGGAUGAUCAACACAAGUACGUACAACUUUGAGUAACUGACAAAUCUCUUCAUGCUUAAUUUUUGUCCCUGAGAAUCUUCUAUUCUCUAGAAAAUAGAAAAAUCAAGACGAUUUCUGCCCUCAUAUUUGGGAUGGUGAAUUUUCUAGAAGGGAGUGAAUAAUGUCAAGUUUUAGAUCGAAUUCUUUUUAUAACUAUUUGAUUCUGCUUUGAACGAGGAAAAAAAUUAAUUUAGUUUCUGGUCCUGAGCAUGAUUCUCCAGGCAUAAACUCCUGACAACUGCAUAGUAGGUCCCUAAAUAUGUUUGCUGAAUGAAUAAACAAAUGAAUGAAUAUGAGUUCAUGUUAACAAUCAACUUUUUAAAAAAAUACUUGUGCUCUGGAGACUUCCUGGAUUGAUAAUCACACAUCUAUUAAUUAAUUUUUUUUAGGGCCAAACCCACAGUAUAUGGAAGUUCCCAGGCGAGGGGUCAAAAUGGAGUUGCAGCUGCGGCCCUACACCACAGCCACAGCAAGGCCAGAUCAGAGCUGCGUCUGCGACCUAUGCCACAGCUCAUGGCAAAAAGUGGGAUCCUUAACCCACUGAGCGAGGCCAGGGUUCAAACCCACAUCCUCAUGGAUUGGAUAUUAGUCGGGUUUAUUACCACUGAGCCAGGACAGGAACUCUGAUAAUUGCACAUCUUUAGAGAAAUCAGAAAUUCCAAUAGAAAAUUUUGCACAUGAAAAAUAUUCAUCCAUCCUGCUAUGUGUGAAUAAGUUGGUUGAUGGACCAAACUGAUCCAAAUGCACAAUUGGAUUUAAGACUAUGUAAAUUGUUAAUUUUGCAAUGUAAAGUAUUUUUUGCUUUUAUAGGAAUGUCUUCAUGAAGACUCAAGCAUUGACUGCAGUUGUAUCUAACCAAUGUCAACCAUCAGGACAUUUAAAAAUAUUUAAUGAUGAUGAAAUUGUUUGGUUUCCCUCCAAGGGUUUUACCAUAAACAGGCUUACUUGAGGUGACCUAUUCCUUGAUGACUAUCUAGUGUCUACAGAAUGUCUGUUAGAAAAAGACUUCACCUAGGCCUUUGCUACUCCUGGGGGUUGUUUGCUUUUUGGCUGUAACUGCAUACAGAAGUUCCCCCAGCUAGGGAUCAACCCACUAUCGAAGUGCAACCCCAGCCACUGUAGUUGGACCCCUAACCUCCUGUGCCACAGCGAGAGCUCUGCUAUUCUGUUUCUUUUUUUUUUUUUACUGAAAUAGUAGGAAAAAGUGAGAAUAAAUUCAGGGCUAUAACUCUAUUGAUAUUCAAUAUCUGUAAACCAUGCCUGUUUCUUCUGUGUUUCUUUGACCUAUUUUAUGUAUCAAAUACAAGAGAGCAAAACCAGAAGGAAACUGCUGUUCAAAAAGUAACCCAGAACUUACCAUCUACUUUUGGUGUGGUCUGUGUGUCUCUUAAGUUGUGACUCUGUCAUAUUCAGAAGCUAAGUAUUGAAUGCAAUUAUAUCUUUCGCUUUUUGCUUGUUCAUUAGUUGAAUAAGCUGCCAGAAACCCGCCAUUUAGGCUAAGAGCUACUGUCUGUUGCUGAACUAGCUUAAAUGGUAUUCAAUAAAUAAUUAGGAAUGUCAUUAUUGAGUUUCCAUCCAAAGUCACACACAUGCUAAUAAAGAUGCCUCCAGCAUCCACAUGUCAAAUGCCAAGAAACAGAUCCACAAAUACAAGUUAGUCUGUUGUUACUCUUAUGUCGUUGGGCAAGCAUUCCAUCUAAGGUUCAUGCUAUCCCAAGAAUCGAACCAUCUCUUACUGGUCUUGGUGACAUGGUCUCUCCCUUGAUACCCAGCUGACAUACACGAACUCACCAUAGCAGAAACCAAGGCUUAUCUGGUAAAUAGUAACUGGAGUACUUCAAGUUUUGUCGUCUGUCCAAAGGAACAGGAAAAGCUGCACAUACAUCAUACAGCAUGAGGUGGAGGAGGAGGGGAGAAGGUCCCUAGACCAUAACAAGCAGCUGAUAGCUAGCUCCC